rnacentral:snRNA from 1 species
GGAUGUGAGGGUGAUCUGGCUGCGACAUCUGUCACCCCAUUGAUCUCCAGGGUUGAUUCAGCUGAUCUGGCUGGCUAGGCGGGUGUCCCCUUCCUCCCUCACUGCUCCAUGUGCAACCCUCCCAAAGCUGUGCACUCGGGUGAAGAGGACGACCUUCCCUGAUAGAGGAGAACCAUUCUUCAGUCAAGUGUAUAGGAGUAGCUGCGCUCCCCUGCUAGAACCUCCAAACAAGCUCUCAAAAUGUGCUUUUGUUACAGCACGGGGGUAGGACCCAUGGGCAGAAAGGGCUGCACUUCUGCUGUGUGAAGCUGGUGGUUAUAU